CGGCAACCAGCAAAAGUGGUACAUAUUCUGGAGUCAGCCUCUUCCUGAGACAAAACUCUAGAUGGUAAUGCAGGUGCGACAUCCUUGCAACCCUCAGGCAGGGAGCAGUACUCCCCGAGUCAUUCUUCUGCAGAGUUGAGGUGAGAGUCACAUCCUGGAGCACGUUUCUCUCUUCUCCUCACCACAUCCCUUAUACUGGGACCAGAGCAAGACCUGCACUUGGCUCCAUGGGAGACAGGCCCAUAUGCAGCUGCCUGGAGACCCUCCCUGGCUGAUGGGAAUUCUUGAGACCUCUGUGAAGGCUGCUGGGCUGGUUGCACACACUGGCUCUCACGGUCCCUCUGAGCUGGUCUCCUACGACUGACUGGGCCCAAGACAGAGGCUCUGACCAGGCCAUGACAAUGCCCACUGUCAUCCGUAAGGAAGACGACUUCGCAGGUUUCGAAGACUCGGACCCAUAGAUCCACCAUCUGCAUGUAAUUUAUUUCCUCUUUCAUUUU